rnacentral:rRNA from 1 species
UCUUCCUUCUGGCGGCGUGCCUAACACAUGCAAGUCGAGCGGCAGCGAGGGGUGCUUGCACCCUGUCGGCGAGCGGCGAACGGCUGAGUAACGCGUAGGAAUUUGCCCCAAAGUGAGGAAUAACUGCCCGAAAGGGUAGCUAAUGCCGCAUAUGGUCUUCGGAUUAAAGGAUUUAUCCGCUUUGGGAGAAGCCUGCGUUGGAUUAGGUUGUUGGUAGGGUAAUGGCCUACCAAGCCGACGAUCCAUAGCUGGUCUGAGAGGAUGAUCAGCCAGACUGGAACUGAGACACGGUCCAGACUCCUACGGGAGGCAGCAGUGAGGAAUCUUCCACAAUGGGCGAAAGCCUGAUGGAGCAACGCCGCGUGAAGGAUGAAGGCCUUCGGGUUGUAAACUUCUUUUAUGAGUGAAGAAUAUGACGGUAACUCAUGAAUAAGCACCGGCUAACUACGUG